AUGCAAGACUACUUUGCGGGGAAUCCAACAUAUCCGCCGCACCUAUUCCGGAGAAGGUACUGAAUGCGCUGAUCUCUCUUUGUGAAAAUUGUUCAAGCUUGCGAGGCCAAUUGUCGGUAUUUUACUCAAAGAAGAAAUGCCACGGGCUUGAAGGGAUUUAGUGCAUAUAAAAAAAUCUCGGCAGCUAUGAGGGUAAUUGUAUACAUCAUUCUGGCUGACUAUGCCGAUGAGUACCUUCGCAUUGGUGAAGAUACCACAAUUGAUUCAGUGCGUAGGUUUGCUAAACUGAUCGUCCGUGUAUUUGGUCCUGAAUAUCUUCGGGCACCCAACGAGGAAGACACAAAAAAUAGAUGGCAUCUAAUGAGAGAAGAGGUUGGCCUGGCAUGCUAG
rnacentral:rRNA from 1 species